rfam:Trichobilharzia regenti genome assembly, scaffold: TRE_scaffold0012499
GUACUGAUGAAGAGUCUCAGACUAGGACGAAAGAUAUGUUCAGUAC